GGCGGCGUGGCUCAUUUGGCUAGAGCGUACGGUUCAUACCCGUAGAGUCAGGGUUCGACUCCCUCCGCCGCUG
rnacentral:tRNA from 1 species